rnacentral:rRNA from 1 species
GACGAACGCUGGCGGCGUGCUUAACACAUGCAAGUCGAACGGAAAGGCCCUGCUUUUGUGGGGUGCUCGAGUGGCGAACGGGUGAGUAACACGUGAGUAACCUGCCCUUGACUUUGGGAUAACUUCAGGAAACUGGGGCUAAUACCGGAUAGGAGCUCCUGCUGCAUGGUGGGGGUUGGAAAGUUUCGGCGGUUGGGGAUGGACUCGCGGCUUAUCGGCUUGUUGGUGGGGUAGUGGUUUACCAAGGCUUUGAAGGGUAGCCGGCCUGAGAGGGUGACCGGCCACAUUGCGCCUGAGAUACGGCCCAGACUCCUACGGGAGGCAGCAGUGGGGAAUAUUGCACAAUGGGCGGAAGCCAGAUGCAGCAACGCCGCGUGCGGGAUGACGGCCUUCGGGGUGUAAACCGCUUUGGCCUGUGACGAAGCGGGAGUGACGGUAAUUGGUAAAGAAGCACCGGCUAACUACGUG